GUCUAUGGCCAUGCUACCCUGAACAAGCCUAAUCCCAUCUGAUCUCAGAAGCUAAGCAGGAUCGGGCCUGGUUAGUACUUGGAUGGAGACCACCUAGGAAGAACAGGUGCUGUAGGCG
rnacentral:rRNA from 1 species